GAGCAGGACACACAAACCAGGAAACUGUCACAUGUGGCAUUAAAAGACAGGCAGCAUGAUAAUACUAAUUAUUCAAUAUAUAAUAUUGUGGUGGGCCUUGGUAAGUUAAGUUGUAGUAAGCAAUCUAGAUGCAGUUUAAAGAAGGAGAGGUAGAAGAAUUUGAGUGAAUGAUACCACAAGCCUCAGCCUUUGACCAUUCUAAUUAAUGUUAAUGGGCAAUAAAUUAACAGGAAGGCAUUAGAGGCAAAGAGUGUCAGAUGUGAGUGGUAAGCCAUGACAUCCUAUCUGCUGGAUUAACAGAAAGAAGCUGGACUGCAAACAGCAAGGAGGGAUAUCUGCUGGCCUUAAAAAGAGAGAUAAUUUCUUAUUAGAGGUAAGCUAUUAAAGGAAGGAAUCAGCCCAUAUCUGAGCUCAUGUUCAAGUGAAGAUUCCUAUGAGCAAAUGGCUUCGGAGCUUCCUUAGAGAUCAGGGUAAGAAAUCUGCAGUGCAACUCUGGUACCAGGCUGAAGGCAGGAAGGCAGAGGGAGUUUGGUCCUAGGAAGAUGUGGCUUCAGAGCAGGCUCCAGCACAGCUGCCCGUGAUGGUGGGGAGCAGUGCCAAUGGUGACCAGUGUUCAUUGUCACUGGUGGCUGUAUGGGGAGUCAGCCCUAGAAGGGGCAUUUUUUUACUCAAGAUGGUGAAAAGAAACCACUUCACCUCCUCAGCUUUUACCCAGCAGGGAUGGAAAUCCAUUGACCCUGUAUGACAAACUUAACCACCCAGUAGUUCAAGUUCUGUGAAGAGAUGUGUGAGGCAGAGAGUUUGUGCCUUGAAAAGCUGCAGCCAGACCAGGUGGACACCAGGCUGGAGCUGCCCUGCCAGCACAAAGAAGAAUCUGCCUUUAUGCCGCCCCA